rnacentral:rRNA from 1 species
AUGGUAGCAAAAAAACGAGGUUGGUUCCAGCAAAACAAAAACAUGGUUCCAGCAACAAAAUCUACCUCAUCGACUUUCCAGCAAAAAAAUGGCGUGCUUGUAUCAUCAACAGCCGCUGGUUCCAGCAAAUCCAGCUGGAGGUUGCAGCUUUUAUUGCCGCUGCCCCAUGGAGACAGCCGGUUCCAGCACGCCUCCGGUGCUGCACGAUUGUCGGUUGCAGCAAAAUGGCGGCUGUCGUUCCAGCAACGCCGGUUGCCGGUUGUAGCACCACGGUCGACCAGUGUGUUUUCUCUAGCGCCAUCAGCCUCCAUGCAGCAAAAACGCUCCCUGUUCGCGACAGCCCCGGGGAUAAGAAGCUAUGGCGCGAAAUCGGCAGGAAAAGUUGACAGAAGGAGGAAGAAAGAAGCUGCAUCGCAAGGAAGAAAAGGGGAAGGAGAAGCUGCAUGGAGAAAUCCAUAG